AACUAUAACAGUCAAUGAUGAUAGGUUACAGUUAAGUCAUCCGUUACAGUUUGUUUCUAUCUUUUUGAAAAAAAAGAUAGAAAUACUCACUUUUCAUGUGGGCGCUGUGGAUUACACCGCGACUUUUUCACCACCUUCUGAUAGCGGUGUUUAAAAAGUUUACUCUGAGGCUG
rnacentral:snoRNA from 1 species